rnacentral:rRNA from 1 species
GGAGACACGGUCCAGACUCCUACGGGAGGCAGCAGUAGGGAAUCUUCCGCAAUGGACGCAAGUCUGACGGAGCAACGCCGCGUGAGUGAUGAAGGUUUUCGGAUCGUAAAGCUCUGUUGCCCUAGACGAACAGCAAGGAGAGUAACUGCUCUUUGUGUGACGGUAUAGGAGAAGAAAGCCCCGGCUAACUACGUGCCAGCAGCCGCGGUAAUACGUAGGGGGCAAGCGUUGUCCGGAAUUAUUGGGCGUAAAGCGCGCGCAGGCGGUCAAUUAAGUUGGGUGUUUAAGCCCGGGGCUCAACCCCGGUUCGCAUCCAAAACUGGUUGACUUGAGUGUAGGAGAGGAAAGUGGAAUUCCACGUGUAGCGGUGAAAUGCGUAGAGAUGUGGAGGAACACCAGUGGCGAAGGCGACUUUCUGGCCUAUAACUGACGCUGAGGCGCGAAAGCGUGGGGAGCAAACAGGAUUAGAUACCCUGGUAGUCCACGCCGUAAACGAUGCAUACUAGGUGUUGGGGAUUCGAUUCCUCGGUGCCGAAGUUAACACAGUAAGUAUGCCGCCUGGGGAGUACGCUCGCAAGAGUGAAACUCAAAGGAAUUGAC